rnacentral:rRNA from 1 species
UACGGAAGGUCCGGGCGUUAUCCGGAUUUAUUGGGUUUAAAGGGAGCGUAGGCCGGAGAUUAAGCGUGUUGUGAAAUGUAGAUGCUCAACGUCUGCACUGCAGCGCGAACUGGUUUCCUUGAGUACGCACAAAGUGGGCGGAAUUCGUGGUGUAGCGGUGAAAUGCUUAGAUAUCACGAAGAACUCCGAUUGCGAAGGCAGCUCACUGGGGCGCAACUGACGCUGAAGCUCGAAAGUGCGGGUAUCGAACAGG